rnacentral:pre_miRNA from 1 species
CGCCACAAGAAGAUGAAGCUGCCAGCAUGAUCUGAGAGCAUAAACGGUAGCAGUUCUCAUCUCGGCAAAUUCAGAUCAUCCGGCAGUUUCAUCUUCUCAUGGA